GACUGUGGGAAAAGUUGUAGUAGUUAAAAUGAGUGAGAGAAGAUUGUAGUAAACAGAGACAAAACAGAGAAGAACAGUAGAGGGAGGCAUCUUCACUGAGACAUGUGCCAUCUAUUCAAAAGGAGCAAGGUUGAGAAUCAGGGUGAAGAAGUUGUAGAAGAUUAAAGAUGAUGAGCAAGCUAAGCAGGGACCGGAGGAGGCUCGUGUUAGCAGCGCACCGUAACAUCAAGUCCGGGCUAGCAGCGCAGCCAUAUGGUCUGUGAGCGCAGCACAAACUAAAGCUAGCUGUAGCAACAGCAGCGCAUGGUGGAUUUAUCAGCUGUCUGACCAGGUGUUGCGCGGGGCAAUCAACGAAGAUGCUCGCGCCGAUAGUGGAAAUAUCCAGCCUCAGCCUGUGAUAUGGUUUGGGCGGUAUGGUGGGGAAAAGUUUACCGAGAGUGGAUCACCCAUUCACCAUCCACAGCAGAUGACUUUUAAAUAUUACAUGGAGUAAUGGAGCAGGAAGGAGUGGCCACAGUGAGCUGCAGGCAACAGACUCCACACCUCCAACUUCUCAGCAAGAAACCCAGAGAGACGACCACAUCAGUCAAUCAAUUCAUUCAUUUGCACCUAACAAUCACCCCUGCUCCUGUCUUUGAAGUCUGAUAAUUCACCUUAAACAAGAAAUCGGCCACAACUCCACAAGAGAAAUCCAUUGUACAUGCAUAUGGAACAGGCAAGUAUGAGAUCAUGAUGGACAAACGUCGCUCUCAUAAGAGCAGUCCAUCGCUCAUUGCUUGUCGCUUAGCAACAGAGACCUGGCGGGCAGACAGUUAGUGUGUGAGACAGAGUGUGUGGGAGGGGAGGUUUGGAGGACGGGGGUAGAGAGAAGGACAGAAGCAGAGCAGCAGGGAGAAAAAGACAGAGGCAGGCUGAGAGAGAGAAAGACAGAGAGGAGAUGUAAUGCAAGACGCAUGUGGGGGAU